UACGUAGGGCGCAAGCGUUAUCCGGAAUUACUGGGCGUAAAGCGCGCGUAGGCGGCUUUGUAGUUAGAGGUGAAAGCCCGGAGCUCAACUCCGGAACUGCCUUUAAGACUGCAUCGCUUGAAUCCGGGAGAGGUGAGUGGAAUUCCGAGUGUAGAGGUGAAAUUCGUAGAUAUCAGGAGGAACACCGAUGGCGAAGGCAGGUCUCUGGGCCACUACUGACGCUGAGAGCGAAAGCAUGGGAGCGAACAGG
rnacentral:rRNA from 1 species